UGAUCUGUAGGAGUAUAUUUUGGCUGUGUUUAGUUUAGUGUAAAGUUUGAAUUUUGAUUGAAAUUGAAGAUGAUUUGACUGUAGAGUUGCGUGUGUAUGAUAUGUUAAUGUAAUAGAAAAAGACUGAAGUUUGGAUCCAAACUCUGUAUCUAAACACAGCCUCUGCUAGAACCGUCGUCCUCUUCGUGCCCUUGUGUGAUUGCUAAUAGAUCUGUGUAGAUUCCCUCACUCUCUCAAAAAAAAAAAACAGUGCAGAUUCUGUCUCGGUCGCGCUCCUCUUCGCGUUCCAGGAAUCCGCCGCUUCUCGGGAAGGCGGGCGCGGCGGCGCUUCCAUGUUCCCGGCGGCGGAGCACGGAGCUAGGGCUCGGCCAGCGCCAGAUCUAACGGCGUCUUCCUAGGGAAGAGCAAGAGCACCGGCAGAUGCCUCGUGGUCAGCUAUAUCGGCCGUCUGCGGCGGCCUCGGGGCCCACCAGAUCUGGCGGUGGGCGGCGACAUCGAGCUGAACGACCUCCAUCGGCGCCAAGCAGACCCUGCCGUAUCGUCGGCGUCGAGCAGCUUCGCCAACGACCUCCACUUCUGCGACCUCGGCGGCGGCUGCUCGUUCAUCCCCUGCGUCAUUGUUGGAUCCGUGGCCAGCAGCAGCGGCGCCCGUCUGCUGGUGUAGGAGAGCUCUGUCCAUCUGUCAAAGGAGCAGCAAGGAAGAAUUGGAAUGGAGUAUUGCUUCUGGUUCAUGCUAUAGCAAUUUUCUUUUAUAGAAUUGGUGCUAAUGAGUUUGCUAAAUUGGAGGUCACUGGAUGUCUGGAUUGGUUGAUUUGAGGAUGCGGUGAGUUGACAACAAUGGGCUCUUGCAUCUCAAGGAGGAGGUGACGACAGAGGUCAAAUGUCAAUGGAGGUAAUGUUUCUUCAGCCAAUUUCACAAUGUUCAAUCAAUAUAGUUUCAGGUUUUUCAUAGCACAACCAUUUGGACUGUAUGCAAGGGAGUAGGAGUACAUGGAUUACUCCUACAAGGGAGUAAAACAGUGUUCCUGUAAGGGAGUAUUAAUACUGCAAGGGGGUAAAACAGUGUUACUGUAAGUGGCAAUUCUGCAUCUUACUUUCAAGAACUUCAGGCACAGGGAAAUAAACAAAUGGCAGCAGGAGUAUGUGUACAACAGUACAUGCAUUCAAGUGUACAGGCACAGCAGAAGGAAACUCUACAACAUGUAUAGAUCAGCUUGUAUACCAACAUAAACCAUGUGGAGGCUUGUCAAUGAGUAGGAGGCUUCCAUCAUCACAAUUUGAUAAUGCAGUUUGUAUCUUCCUUUUGUAAAUGCAGUUUGUAACUUCUUUUUGAGACUGUAACAUGUUGGGAGCAGAAUUUGAUAAUGCAGUUUAUAACAUGUUGUAAAUACAGUUGUUGAACUAUUGGGAGCAGAAUGAAUGAAUGAAUCGAUCUGACAGUGUAUCUGUUUGGCAAA